rnacentral:rRNA from 1 species
GAAUUGCUAGUAAUGGCAGGUCAGCAUACUGCCGUGAAUACGUUCCCGGGCCCUUGUACACACCGCCCGUCACACCAUGAGAGUUGGGAAUACCCGAAGCCUGUGAGCCAACAAACGAGGCAGCAGUCGAAGGUAGAAUCAAUGAUUGGGGUGAAGUCGUAACAAGGUAUC